GACGAACGCUGGCGGCGUGCUUAACACAUGCAAGUCGAACGGAAAGGCCCUGCUUUUGUGGGGUGCUCGAGUGGCGAACGGGUGAGUAACACGUGAGUAACCUGCCCUUGACUUUGGGAUAACUUCAGGAAACUGGGGCUAAUACCGGAUAGGAGCUCCUGCUGCAUGGUGGGGGUUGGAACGUUUCGGCGGUUGGGGAUGGACUCGCGGCUUAUCAGCUUGUUGGUGGGGUAGUGGCUUACCAAGGCUUUGACGGGUAGCCGGCCUGAGAGGGUGACCGGCCACAUUGGGACAGAGAUACGGCCCAGACUCCUACGGGAGGCAGCAGUGGGGAAUAGUGCACGAUGGGCGGAAGCCGGAUGCAGCAACGCCGCGUGCGGGAUGACGGCCUUCGGGUUGUAAACCGCUUUCGCCGGUGACGAAGCGUGAGUGACGGUAAUGGGUAAAGAAGCACCGGCUAACUACGUG
rnacentral:rRNA from 1 species